rnacentral:rRNA from 1 species
GGUUAAGCGACUAAGCGUACACGGUGGAUGCCCUGGCAGUCAGAGGCGAUGAAGGACGUGCUAAUCUGCGAUAAGCGCCGGUAAGGUGAUAUGAACCGUUAUAACCGGCGAUUUCCGAAUGGGGAAACCCAGUGUGACUCGUCACACUAUCAUUAACUGAAUCCAUAGGUUAAUGAGGCGAACCGGGGGAACUGAAACAUCUAAGUACCCCGAGGAAAAGAAAUCAACCGAGAUUCCCCCAGUAGCGGCGAGCGAACGGGGAGGAGCCCAGAGCCUGAAUCAGCAUGUGUGUUAGUGGAAGCGUCUGGAAAGGCGCGCGAUACAGGGUGACAGCCCCGUACACAAAAGCGCAUGUGCUGUGAGCUCGAUGAGUAGGGCGGGACACGUGGUAUCCUGUCUGAAUAUGGGGGGACCAUCCUCCAAGGCUAAAUACUCCUGACUGACCGAUAGUGAACCAGUACCGUGAGGGAAAGGCGAAAAGAACCCCGGCGAGGGGAGUGAAAAAGAACCUGAAACCGUGUACGUACAAGCAGUGGGAGCACCCUUUGGGGUGUGACUGCGUACCUUUUGUAUAAUGGGUCAGCGACUUAUAUUCUGUAGCAAGGUUAACCGAAUAGGGGAGCCGGAGGGAAACCGAGUCUUAAUUGGGCGUUAAGUUGCAGGGUAUAGACCCGAAACCCGGUGAUCUAGCCAUGGGCAGGUUGAAGGUUGGGUAACACUAACUGGA